GAUGAACGCUGGCGGCGUGCCUAAUACAUGCAAGUCGAGCGAACGGACGAGAAGCUUGCUUCUCUGAUGUUAGCGGCGGACGGGUGAGUAACACGUGGAUAACCUACCUAUAAGACUGGGAUAACUUCGGGAAACCGGAGCUAAUACCGGAUAAUAUAUUGAACCGCAUGGUUCAAAAGUGAAAGACGGUCUUGCUGUCACUUAUAGAUGGAUCCGCGCUGCAUUAGCUAGUUGGUAAGGUAACGGCUUACCAAGGCAACGAUGCAUAGCCGACCUGAGAGGGUGAUCGGCCACACUGGAACUGAGACACGGUCCAGACUCCUACGGGAGGCAGCAGUAGGGAAUCUUCCGCAAUGGGCGAAAGCCUGACGGAGCAACGCCGCGUGAGUGAUGAAGGUCUUCGGAUCUUAAAACUCUGUUAUUAGGGAAGAACAUAUGUGUAAGUAACUGUGCACAUCUUGACGGUACCUAAUCAGAAAGCCACGGCUAACUACGUG
rnacentral:rRNA from 1 species